rnacentral:misc_RNA from 1 species
GAUGAAGAACGUAGCGAAAUGCGAUAAGUAAUGUGAAUUGCAUAAUUCAGUGAAUCAUCGAAUCUUUGAACGCACAUUGCGCCCGCCAGUAUUCUGGCGGGCAUGCCUGUUCGAGCGUCAUUACAACCCUCAGGCCCCCGGGCCUGGCGUUGGGGAUCGGCGGAAGCCCCCUGCGGGCACAACGCCGUCCCCCAAAUACAGUGGCGGUCCCGCCGCAGCUUCCAUUGCGUAGUAGCUAACACCUCGCAACUGGAGAGCGGCGCGGCCACGCCGUAAAACACCCAACUUCUGAAUGUUGACCUCGAAUCAGGUAGGAAUACCCGCUGAACUUAAGCAUAUCAAUAAGCGAGGA